rnacentral:lncRNA from 1 species
AGGCUGGAGUGCAGUGGUGCCAUUUCGGCUCACUGCAACCUCUGCCUCCCGGGUUCAAGUGACUCCCCUGUCUCAGCUUCCCAAUUAUGAAGAUCAGAAAAAAGGAAGAAAACUAAUGUUACUAAAUUAUUUCACAAAAAAAAUCUAUCCUGAGCACUGAAAUUAGUCUUCCAAAAUAAAGCCUUCCAGAGAUGGAUACUGAGAAUUAAUUAAUAGCAUCAUAUUUAAUAGAUGGAAGUAAGUUAUCUGUGAAAAACAUUUCUUCAGUUACAUUUUGUCUUCUUGCCUCCACUAAUAUAAAAGCUUACUGUCAUUUUGUUGAGCCUUUGAAAGAUUUUAGUUAGGGCCUCUCUCCAGAAGGGCAGCUGGAAUUUUACAUGGUGACUCCAGGCUCCAGAAGACUCAGAAGAAGAUGUCAGUCAAUUUUAAGGCUUGGGCCUAAUAUGCAGUCUUCUUCUGGGCCAUCACCUACCUUCUCAGCCUCCUCCACAAAGGCAGAGACAGCAGAUUUCCUCAGUGAACUUCUUCUACUUAUUAAAAAAAAGUAACUGUAAAGCAGCCUCAAGGAGGUCCUUCAGGAGGCAUUCUGGAAGAAAGCAUUAUUGUCAUAGGUGAUGACAGCUCCAUGCAUGUGAUUUCCCCCAAAGACCUUCCAGUGGGACAAGACACAGUGGCAGAAGACAGCAAUUUUAAUGAAGCUAAUCUUGUGAAGGCCUAGGAUAAUGGCCCUGCCUGUGGAUAGUCACCAGUCAACAUUGGCAUCUCAAGGACAAGUUUGCCAAGAUUAGAAGUGCUUAUAUUUUGGGAACACGCUGGCCACUUGCACAUCAGAGAUCUCUGCUAUUAGAGAAAUUAUUUGGGAAUCCCUAGAAUGUUUGUAUGCUAGGCUAUUUCUUUUUGUGUUUAAAAUAUAUGGAACUUUCAAUGGAAGACUUUAAAAAUUACUCUUGUUUUGCCUAUGGCAUAAUACACAGAUAUAGUAAUUUUUAAAACCUUUGGUAAAUAAAGUAAAAAUUAUAAGGAAAACU